UACGUAGGGCGCAAGCGUUGUCCGGAAUUAUUGGGCGUAAAGAGCUCGUAGGCGGUUUGUCGCGUCUGCCGUGAAAGUCCGGGGCUCAACCCCGGAUCUGCGGUGGGUACGGGCAGACUAGAGUGAUGUAGGGGAGACUGGAAUUCCUGGUGUAGCGGUGAAAUGCGCAGAUAUCAGGAGGAACACCGGUGGCGAAGGCGGCGACCUGGGUAGAUACUGACGCUGAGGUGCGAAAGCGUGGGGAGCAAACAGG
rnacentral:rRNA from 1 species